rnacentral:rRNA from 1 species
AGAGUUUGAUUCUGGCUCAGAUGAACGCUGGCGGUCUGCUUAACACAUGCAAGUCGAACGGAGUUCGUAGAACUUAGUGGCGGACGGGUGAGUAACGCGUGAGAAUCUACCUUCAGGAGGGGAUAACAGUGGGAAACUGCUGCUAAGACCCGAUAGCCCCAAGCGGGAAAGAUUUAUCGCCUGAAGAUGAGCUCGCGUCCGAUUAGUUAGUUGGUGGGUAAAGGCCUACCAAGACAGCGAUCGGUAGCUGGUCUGAGAGGACGACAGCCACACUGGGACUGAGACACGGCCCAGACUCCUACGGGAGGCAGCAGGGGGAAUUUUCCGCAAUGGGCGAAAGCCUGACGGAGCAAGACCGCGUGAGGAAGAAGGCCCUUGGGUUGUAAACCUCUUUUCUCAAGGAAGAAGAAAGGACGGUACUUGAGGAAUGAGCAUCGGCUAACUCCGUGCCAGCAGCCGCGUAAGACGGAGGAUGCAAGCGUUAUCCGGAAUUAUUGGGCGUAAAGGGUCGCAGGUGGUUUCUCAAGUCGGCAGUCAAAGACCGGAGCUUAACUUCGGAAGGCUGUGGAAACUGAGAGACUAGAGAGAGGUAGGGGUAAGGGGAAUUCCGGUGUAGCGGUGAAAUGCGUAGAGCUCGGGAAGAACACCGGUGGCGAAGCGCCUUACUGGACCUCAUCUGACACUCAGGGACGAAAGCUAGGGGAGCAAAGGGAUUAGAUACCCCUGUAGUCCUAGCCGUAAACGAUGGAAACUAGCGUAGCCUGGACCGACCCGGGCUGUGCCGGAGCUAACGCGUUAAGUUUCCGCCUGGGGAGUACGCACGCAAGUGUGAAACUCAAAUGAAUUGACGGGG